GCUCCGGUGGCCUAGUGGUUAGAGCAUCCACCUCGGAUGCGGGUGGUCGCAAGUUUGAACCCAGGCCGAGUCA